GUUUGAUUCUAUUUGUGCACA
rnacentral:piRNA from 1 species